rnacentral:other from 1 species
CGUGCCCUGCUGUGCACGUGAUGCGUGAAAGAGUUUUGAGCCAACACCUUAACCUUGGGAGCCGAUCUCAGUAGGGGCUGCCCCCUGAGGGCAAAACCGACGGUAGGCACCCACCUGCGCUUGCAGGUUCAAAACCCACCCAGCACACGGCGCAGCGGGGCACGC